GGUGCAUACCUUGCCAAUUUUGAGACUCUGGAAGAGGCCAUGUUGAUGAAAUAUGAACUGCAACAGAUGAAAACAGGUGUAUUCAUCAUUAACGUUAUACUGUGUUUAUUCCAUAAUCAGACUAAGGAGAUGUGGGGUGAUUGCAAAUGAAAUAUUUAUUACGAUGACAGUAGUAUACUGCUGUUCAAAACUCGUAAAUCGAUGGACAAAAAAACAAAAUCGGGGUAACAAACUACAACUGAGGGAAACGCAUUAAAUAUAAGAGAACAAUGACACAACAUUAAAAUAACACCACAGAAACGACUAAGCAUUAGACAAAAUCCGAUGAGAAUAACAAAUAUAACAUCAAAACCAAAUACAUGAGUUAACAUUUGUAUUGAACCAUACGUCAUUAAGCAAUGAUCAAAAUAAAUGCUAUAAAAUAACUAUAAAAUGUCUAUGUGACAAAUUGUGAAACAAUCGUAAACAAAAACAAGCACUCGCCAGAUUUAUACGACCAAUGAACGAAAAAAAAAAAAAAAAAGGCAAACAAAAACUAACACCAACCACUGAAUGACAGGAUCUUGAUUUGAAACAGACCCAUUCAGAAUUUGACAGGAUUAUACAUGUAUAUGAACGCUCAACCCUGUCCCUUACCUUGUACAUUUGUAUUGGUUUAUCAUUGCAUUCCUCUUUGUAUACAUAUAACAUGUAUAAGUGCGCAAAAGAAAUCUUGGUUUCUUUAGAAAAAAUCAAAUCAUGUAUAUUGUGGCUAAACAUAAAAAUUGAAAGUUCAUUAUCUGGUUACAAAUAAUGAUAUGCCGUUGCACACACCACAUGAAGAAUUUUCUAUCAAAUAUCAGUGUUCAAACAAUGUUUUAUUUAGUUUUAUCUUGAGUAUAAGCUAAACAUGUAAUAUAUAUAUUUAUAGGUAUGAGCCAUGCCCGACGUCAAAUAGGUUGAGAAAUAAACAGAUAAUGUUUUAUUUCAUGCUCAUGUCAAUAUUUGUGAAUAAUGACUUUACAAUUCACGUAAAGGCUAUACAGUGGAACCUUGGCUAAACCGAACCUCUUCGGGACUUAAGAUUUUUUUCGGUUUUGAAGAUGUAUGGUUCUAUCUGGUUCACAACGCAUACAAUUUGAAAUGACGGUGCUUAAGAACAUGUUUGGUUUAUACAAGUUUUCGGUUUAUGCUGGAUUGGGUUUAGCCGGGUUUCACUGUAUAUCUUACUGACAAUGCAAUUCAUUAUAGCAAUGUCAGAUUUUAAAAGUAUAUAUUAAAUUAACACGUGGCUAUUUAUCAUAGGUUUACACUUCCAUGUUGCACGGCGGAACAUAAACAGAUACGUCCCUGGCGGAGACUGGAGGUGGAUACAGAACGGUAAAAUGACCAAGAUGACGUACAAAGCUUUCGGUACUAGACAACCCGAUGGAUCAAAUGCAGGACCAUAAGACUGCAUGAUGUUUUAUGCUGGAGAAAGAUAUAUCCUUCACGAUGUAUACUGUGACCGUCCUUCAUGGAGAAGUGGAUAUAUUUGUGA
rnacentral:lncRNA from 1 species